UACGAAGGGGGCUAGCGUUGCUCGGAAUUACUGGGCGUAAAGCGCACGUAGGCGGCUCUUUAAGUCGGGGGUGAAAUCCUGGAGCUCAACUCCAGAACUGCCUUCGAUACUGUAGAGCUUGAGUUCGGGAGAGGUGAGUGGAACUGCGAGUGUAGAGGUGAAAUCGUAGAUAUUCGCAAGAACACCAGUGGCGAAGGCGGCUCACUGGCCCGAUACUGACGCUGAGGUGACGAAGCGUGGG
rnacentral:rRNA from 1 species